UACGCAGGGUGCAAGCAUUAAUCGGAUUUACUGGGCGUAAAGGGCGCGUAGGCGGUUAAAUGAGUGUGACGUGAAAGCCCCGGGCUCAACCUGGGAAGUGCAUCGCAAACGAUUUAACUGGAGUAGAUGAGAGGGUGGUGGAAUUUCCGGUGUAGCGGUGAAAUGCGUAGAGAUCGGAAGGAACGUCAAUGGCGAAGGCAGCCACCUGGCAUCAUACUGACGCUGAGGCGCGAAAGCGUGGGGAGCAAACAGG
rnacentral:rRNA from 1 species